rnacentral:rRNA from 1 species
UACGUAGGGGGCAAGCGUUGUCCGGAAUUAUUGGGCGUAAAGAGCGCGUAGGCGGUCCGGUAAGUCGGUUGUGAAAGUCGGGGGCUCAACCCUCGGAUGCCGAUCGAUACUGUCGGGCUAGAGUCCGGAAGAGGCGAGUGGAAUUCCUGGUGUAGCGGUGAAAUGCGCAGAUAUCAGGAAGAACACCCGUGGCGAAGGCGGCUCUCUGGGACGGUACUGACGCUGAGACGCGAAAGCGUGGGGAGCGAACAGG